rnacentral:rRNA from 1 species
GACGAACGCUGGCGGCGUGCUUAACACAUGCAAGUCGAACGGAAAGGCCCUGCUUUCGUGGGGUGCCCGAGUGCCGAACGGGUGAGUAACACGUAAGUAACCUGCCCUAGACUUUGGGAUAACUUAAGGAAACUGGGGCUAAUACCGGAUAGGAGCCCCUGCUGCAUGGUGGGGGUGGGAACGUUUCGGCGGUUGGGGAUGGACUCGCGGCUUAUCAGCUUGUUGGUGGGGUAGUGGCUUACCAAGGCUUUGACGGGUAGCCGGCCUGAGAGGGUGACCGGCCACAUGGGGACUGAGAUACGGCCCAGACGCCUACGGGAGACAGCAGUGGGGAAUAUUGCACAAUGGGCGGAAGCCUGAUGCAGCAACGCCGCGUGCGGGAUGACGGCCUUCGGGUUGUAAACCGCUUUCGCCUGUGACGAAGCGUGAGUGACGGUAAUGGGUAAAGAAGCACCGGCUAACUACGUG